UUCACCCUUAUUUUCGGCAGUAAAACCAUUACCAAUUUUUGAUUUUCAAAUGACAACCUAUACUAAAAGUUUCAUAAAUAGAUGGAAUAUUAAUUAAAAAUUGACAUUUGAAAAUCAAAAAUUGGUAAUGGUUUUACUGCCGAAAAUAAGGGUGAA
rnacentral:miRNA from 1 species